GAUGAACGCUGGCGGCGUGCUUAACACAUGCAAGUCGAACGGGAAACCUUUUAUUGAAGCUUCGGCAGAUUUAGCUGGUUUCUAGUGGCGGACGGGUGAGUAACGCGUGGGUAACCUGCCUUAUACAGGGGGAUAACAGUCAGAAAUGGCUGCUAAUACCGCAUAAGCGCACAGAGCUGCAUGGCUCAGUGUGAAAAACUCCGGUGGUAUAAGAUGGACCCGCGUUGGAUUAGCUGGUUGGUGGGGUAACGGCCCACCAAGGCGACGAUCCAUAGCCGGCCUGAGAGGGUGAACGGCCACAUUGGGACUGAGACACGGCCCAGACUCCUACGGGAGGCAGCAGUGGGGAAUAUUGCACAAUGGGGGAAACCCUGAUGCAGCGACGCCGCGUGAAGGAAGAAGUAUCUGGUAUGUAAACUUCUAUCAGCAGGGAAGAUAAUGACGGUACCUGACGAAGAAGCCCCGGCUAACUACGUG
rnacentral:rRNA from 1 species